GCUUGGUUAGUGCUUUGGAGUCGAAUAUGACUUGAUAUGAUGUGUAUGAUUGAGUAUAAGAAAUUAAACCACAACCGGAUCUUAAAAGCCUAAGUAGUGUUUCCUUGUUAGAAGAUACAAAGGCAAAGCCUCAUACGGACUUUAGCUAUACCAUCAAAGCCUUGAGAAGCAAGAAGAAGCUUUGUUAGUGUUUUGGAGCCAAAUAUGA
rnacentral:sRNA from 1 species